rnacentral:rRNA from 1 species
UACAUGUGGGGCAAGCGUUGUUCGGAAUUACUGGGCAUAAAGGGUGCGUAGGCGGCUUGAUAAGUCAGUGGUGAAAUCGUCCGGCCCAACCGGACACGUGCCAAUGAUACUGUCGAGCUUGAGUGCGUGAGGGGUGGGGGGAACGAGCAGUGUAGCGGUGAAAUGCGUAGAUAUCAGGAGGAACACCGGUGGCGAAGGCGGCUAUCUGGACAGAGUCUGACGCUGAGGCGCGAAAGCUAGGGGAGCAAACAGG